rnacentral:rRNA from 1 species
UACGAAGGGGGCUAGCGUUGCUCGGAAUCACUGGGCGUAAAGCGCACGUAGGCGGACUCUUAAGUCGGGGGUGAAAUCCUGGAGCUCAACUCCAGAACUGCCUUCGAUACUGGGAGUCUUGAGUUCGGGAGAGGUGAGUGGAACUGCGAGUGUAGAGGUGAAAUUCGUAGAUAUUCGCAAGAACACCAGUGGCGAAGGCGGCUUCCUGGACCGACACUGACGCUGAGGCGCGAAAGCUAGGGGAGCAAACGGG